rnacentral:lncRNA from 1 species
GCAACCACCUGAGCUCGGUCUUCGAGCUCUGGCAGAGAGGUGCAACCGCCCCUGACAGAGGUGGCACCGCCCAAAGGCUCAAUCUUCGAGCUCUGCCAGGCGGUGCAACCGCCCUAGUUAGGAGGUGCAACCGCCUGAUCCCGGAAUUCUGGGAAUUGACAGUUUUGAGCUCCAAAUUUGAACUGGGUUGGGGCCUAUAAAUACCCCACCCAUUCAGCACUGAAAGAGCACAGACAUACACCGAAAUCUUGAUCUUUUUCUGUGAUUCUUAGAGCUC